rnacentral:rRNA from 1 species
GUGGCGGACGGGUGAGUAACGCGUGACAAUCUGCCUUGCAGGAGGGGGACAACAGAUGGAAACGGCUGCUAAUACCGCUUAUGUCGAGAGACGAUAGAUUUAUCUGCCUGAAGAUGAGCUCUCGUCCGAUUAGCUAGUUGGUGAGGUAAGAGCUUACCAAGGCAAUGAUCGGUGGCUGGUUUGAAAGGACAACCAGCCACACUGGGACUGACACCCCGCCCACAUUCCUACGGGAGGCAUCAGGGGGGAAUUUUCCGCAAUGGGCGCAAGCCUGACGGAACCAUACCGGGGGGGGGAGGAAGGUGUGUGGAUUCCCAACCCCUUUUCUC